AACGAACGCUGGCGGCAUGCUUAACACAUGCAAGUCGAACGAGACCUUCGGGUCUAGUGGCGCACGGGUGCGUAACGCGUGGGAAUCUGCCCUUUGCUACGGAAUAACUCAGAGAAAUUUGUGCUAAUACCGUAUAAUGUCGCAAGACCAAAGAUUUAUCGGCAAAGGAUGAGCCCGCGUAAGAUUAGCUUGUUGGUGGGGUAAAGGCUCACCAAGGCGACGAUCUUUAGCUGGUCUGAGAGGAUGAUCAGCCACACUGAGACUGAAACACGGCCCAGACUCCUACGGGAGGCAGCAGUGGGGAAUAUUGGACAAUGGGCGAAAGCCUGAUCCAGCAAUGCCGCGUGAGUGAUGAAGGCCUUAGGGUUGUAAAACUCUUUUAGUAGGGAAGGUAAUGACGGUACCUACAGAAAAAGCACCGGCUAACUUCGUGCCAGCAGCCGCAGUAACAC
rnacentral:rRNA from 1 species